rnacentral:rRNA from 1 species
AGGGGGGCGGCCUAACCAUGCAGUCGGACGGUAGCACAGAGAGCUUGCUCUCGGGUGACAAGUGGCGGACGGGUGAGUAAUGUCUGGGGAUCUGCCCGAUAGAGGGGGAUAACCACUGGAAACGGUGGCUAAUACCGCAUAACGUCGCAAGACCAAAGAGGGGGACCUUCGGGCCUCUCACUAUCGGAUGAACCCCCAUGGGAUUAGCUAGUAGGCGGGGUAAUGGCCCACCUAGGCGACAAUCCCUAGCUGGUCUGAGAGGAUGACCAGCCACACUGGAACUGAGACACGGUCCAGACUCCUACGGGAGGCAGCAGUGGGGAAUAUUGCACAAUGGGCGCAAGCCUGAUGCACCCAUGCCGCGUGUAUGAAAAAAGCCUUCUGGUUGUAAAGUACUUUCAGCGGGGAGGAAGGCGGUGCGGUUAAUAACCGCGCCGAUUGACGUUACCCGCAGAAAAAACACCGGCUAACUCCGUGCCAGCAGCCGCGGUAAUACGGAGGGUGCAAGCGUUAAUCGGAAUUACUGGGCGUAAAGCGCACGCAGGCGGUCUGUUAAGUCAGAUGUGAAAUCCCCGGGCUUAACCUGGGAACUGCAUUUGAAACUGGCAGGCUUGAGUCUUGUAGAGGGGGGUAGAAUUCCAGGUGUAGCGGUGAAAUGCGUAUAGAUCUGGAGGAAUACCGGUGGCGAAAGCGGCCCCCUGGACAAAGACUGACGCUCAGGUGCGAAAGCGUGUGGAGCAAACAGGAUUAUAUACCCUGGUAGUCCACGCCGUAAACAAUGUCGACUUGUAGGUUGUUCCCUUGAGGAGUGGCUUCCGGAGCUAACGCGUUAAGUCGACCGCCUGGGGAGUACAGCCGCAAGGUUAAAACUCACAUGAAUUGACGGGGGCCCGCACAAGCGGUGGAGCAUGUGGUUUAAUUCUAUGCAACGCGAGAACCUUACCUACUCU